AAUAUAAAAUUCCACGGUAACAUCGUGAAGUCAAAGGUUAUCAAAUAAUCGUUGAUUCAUUGAGAAAACAAGACAAAAAUCACCACUGGCUUUGUCAGUCCUUAAAGGCCUAAAUUAAGUAAAGACCAACGAAUACUGACCCCGAAUAAUAUAUGUCUGUUGAUUAUAUCAGAGAAGUCUAAGUUCAAAGGCUGAUCGUACCACAAUUCAGCUUCUGAAAUAAAAAUUUGUAAGGGUUAAAAAUAGGAAAAGUUUUCCGAUUUUUCCAUGAAAUUCUAAAUGUUCAUUUUCAACAUGUUCGCUGGAUGCAAUUGGAAUGAUGCAUAGUCUGGCAAGUUUCAUCCGAGAAUCUACGUCCUAGUGCAGCGAUCAAAGAAUCCAAGUCUUCGGAGUUCUACUCCGCUUUCUUCAGAAAUCAACUUGGAAUCAUCAAAAAGUUCUCCGAUUUUGAAAUCCACAUCUUUUCUAUGGUCUUUCGCCAAUUGAAUGAUUUUCUGGACGUAUUUCGUGCACGCAAGGAAAGCUUAAGAGAAAAGGGACCAAAAAUUUCAAUUUUGAAUAUCUUCUAAGUUUUUUUUAUUGAGAAAGAAAUUAUUUAUUAUUAUUUCAAAAUCAUAAAGAACGAGUGCUAGAAAUUUCAUAAAAAUGUCUGACAAUAUCUGAAAGUCUUCACAUGAUUUCACAUGGAAUUGUUCUAAACUGACUGUACACAAUUUUUUAAUACAAUUACAGUACUUUGACUUGUGUGAUUUUAUUUUUUAAUUUUUUAAAAUAAUUAAUGAAAAUCUUACAAACAAUGAUUUUUCGUGUUUUCAGUUAUGAAUCAAGAAUGUAUCAUAUUAUUUAUAAAAAUGCAACACGUUCUCAUUUAAACAAACGCGCGCAAAGUUGCGCUUUUCCCGUUUGAGAUUGUGAUUUGCGACCUUUAUCACAAGGAUGCGUACUACAAUGCUUUAAUAAUAGGGACCAGCGUUCCAUGUAAUAUAUCCUCGAAGUAAAGGAAGAAGGGUGAGUGAAGGCCAAGGUGUGAAGGGUGAAAGUGAGUGGUUUGAAGUGAAUAUUUGGAGCGUGUGAAGUUUAUGAGGUUAGGAGUGAAAAAAUAGCUGCUUGGUCAGGGGGGCAAGAGGUAGGUGACAAAGGCGGAAAACGUCACGGAUCUUGGGGUAAGGUAGGAUGCCGACGACGCGAAGUCCACAAACUGGCGCCAGAGGGCAACAGUUACUGGACAA